rnacentral:rRNA from 1 species
GCGGCGUGCCUAAUACAUGCAAGUAGAACGCUGAAGGAGGAGCUUGCUCUUCUGGAUGAGUUGCGAACGGGUGAGCAACGCGUAGGUAACCUGCCUGGUAGCGGGGGAUAACUAUUGGAAACGAUAGCUAAUACCGCAUAAGAGUAGAUGUUGCAUGACAUUUGCUUAAAAGGUGCAAUUGCAUCACUACCAGAUGGACCUGCGUUGUAUUAGCUAGUUGGUGGGGUAACGGCUCACCAAGGCGACGAUACAUAGCCGACCUGAGAGGGUGAUCGGCCACACUGGGACUGAGACACGGCCCAGACUCCUACGGGAGGCAGCAGUAGGGAAUCUUCGGCAAUGGACGGAAGUCUGACCGAGCAACGCCGCGUGAGUGAAGAAGGUUUUCGGAUCGUAAAGCUCUGUUGUAAGAGAAGAACGAGUGUGAGAGUGGAAAGUUCACACUGUGACGUAUCUACCAGAAAGGACG